GCAGUUUUGAAUUCAGGAGCGGCAAGAUGGCAGCGGCAAACCCUGGCGGUUCUCCGGAUUCGUUGCAACCACGGAUGGGAAAAUGUGGAGGUUGCACGGCUGAUGUUUACUGUUCGUGGCACAGGAAGAGGCAGUUUCAUUUCAGGAAUGAGUGUGCACAAUCAAAGAAUAGAGCGACUGUGGAGAGACCUCUGGGUGGCCGUUACAUGCAUUUACUACGAUGUUCUUCACAACCUUGAGGAAGAAGGCCUUCUUGACAUUUCAAAUGCUGCACACCUCUUUUGCUGCCAUUACAUCUUUCUUCCUCGACUGGAGGAUGGUUUUAAUACAUUUUGCAGUGGAUGGGACAACCAUCCACUGCGAACAGAAAACAACACGAGUCCCAACCAGCUGUGGGAGUUGUGUCACAGAU